UGUUAAAUUGUCUGGAUUUCAUUUUUAUUAGUGAAAUUAUAGAAAAACAUUUUAACGUACAUUUAUAUAAAGGCAUUAGACAGACGCUCGGACAUUAUACAAAGAAUGAACAUUGAAUAGCCGUUUCUGUAGGAUUCCAAUUCUUUAACUGAUGACUCAUUUACGAUAGGAUUUCGUGGUUCGAGCAAGCAUAAUCGUAGGUUAGUGCUGUAACACACUUCAGCGCACUGCUUGCUAUUAAUAAACGACAGCGUCGCGACCACCUGUGUUGUACCGCCUAUACGUCAGAAACCACUUGACAACGACAACUUGUCGGAUCGUUCCGCUACAUGCUCUUUUCGCAAAAUAAUCUUAAGGAACAGAACAUAAUUUUUUUCCACGAAGGAACGCUACGUCACAAGAUUCAAAGGCACAGAGAGCAACGCCCUGCCAUCAUGGCUGCUCGUAAACCGGCAUUUGUCCUCGAUCUUUUUUACCGUUAAAAUUAUGACAGAUGAUAGCGAAAAAAGUUAAUUUAGUAUCGAAGUUGAAUAGAAAAGAUUAUAUUGUGCAGGUACCCACCUUUUGGGACAGAAACCAACUGCAGAAACCGUUGAUCGUUGAUCGACAAAGGGACACCGCAAGGAUACUAUCGGCACGACGAAGCGAGACUCGACAGCCGCGAGUUGCAAGCACUGUGAGUGAGAUCGUGGCCGGUACCGUGUUAUGUGGACUUGCCCGAAGGUGUGGUUCGCAUACACGUUAAAAUUCUGAUCGAUCUCAUUUAUUUCCUGUUUUUUCAUUAUGUUUUCUCAAUAUAUCCAUACAAUAUCAUUUGCCGGGUGACAGAGAAUGGAUUCGUCCAGCCGGCUUUCCCCACCACUCGGAUUCACAGCUCUUGCCAUAUAUGGGCAUAAAACGAAAGCAGCUCGCUGAUUGGUCUGCUGGCCGGCUGCCGGCUAGAUUCUCCAAAUGCCGCUUCAAACUGUACGAUACGGGGAGCAUAAUGCCUUCUGGAAGCGUACACUAGCGUAAGGGCUUUCCUGACUAACCGUCAGAGCUGUUGUGGUAGUGUGCGUACAAAUGUAUGGAAGAUUACAACCAUUCUUUGAAUGUGUAAGCGUGCGAACCAGUACCGGCAGUAGGUAUACUCGGUUAGCUAGUACGGCAUAUUUGAAGAGUGUGGACUCAAAGUAAAUAAUCGAGUACAAAAUUUUAGCUUUAUCUUUAUAUUUACUUGUAUAAUUUCUCCCAAGCAAUUCAAUCAAAAAAUUAUAUCGUCUCGAGGUACAUGUAAAAUAUGAUUGAUUUACAAUAAAUCGAAUUUUGAACAAAACUUGAAAUUUUUAUAAUCAUUCUGUCAAGUACUGUGCUGGCUGCACUACAUUUAAAAUUUGUUCCAUGGAAUUAUGGUUUACAAGAGCAGUCUAAAAAAGUUAGUGGGUCAGGUCUGAUUACCCGCGCACAUUCAUCCAUCAGGUUUCUCUACAUAGCGGGACAGAUGACGUUUCCUAUAUAAUAAAACAAUCUCUAAUUUCCGAAUAGUGAAAGAAGGAUUCAGAUUGAACGAGCAAACCAAAUCGUUGCACAUCCUCCCACUUAAUAUGUAUGUGCUGUGUGCCAUCUCGGCCGCCUUUUUCAUGAAACAAGAGCUAAAAAUAGACUCAAGGGCGCGGAUAAGGGUGCACUGGACUAGUCCACGUCACAUAAGCCCUACGCUACGAUCGUAUCGCUUAGUGUUCGUGUCCAUUAGACACGAAAGAUGUCCUAGUGUAUGUGCGUGCAAUGCUGCUGUAAAAUCGAUAGGCGUAUUCACAUACAUAGUCUACUAUGGUAGGUCGGACUUAUGAUGAGAAACCACGUGGCGAUGAAAACGUCAAAGUCCGAACAGUCGUUCCGCGUGCAGUUCCUUCUGCAAAAUACUUCGCAGACUGCAUAUUUUUUCCUGAUUCCUUAUUAUUAAGGAGACGUCCACUGAUAAGUACGGAUACAAUUUUUAUAAAUAAGUGAAAAAUUCAUCAGAAUUUGCUUUACGGUGUAUCUUCUAUAAAAAGUUGAUCGCUUAAAAAAUGUGCGAAUUCUAAUACCUUCUCGAAAGAUAAUAAAUUUAGAAGUUCUUAAAUAGCUUUGCGAUGAAUUCCUUAAUUGACCCGAUACAAUAUUUUCGAGAAUAUCGGGGUUUCUCGGAAUUCGAUUUUUUAUGCAAAUUGACUAUGUAAUACGUACGUAGUUGUUGCUCGUCGUUGUUUAAUCAAAAAAUAAUUUUAAUAAAUAUAGAAAUUGCAAUAAUAUGAUUUUGCAGGCACGCCUUUUCGAUGAAAUAGUAAUACUAUAACGUAACCGAUGAGUCAUUAGUGCUUGACGAGAAAUUGUUGCUGGUUAGUGCACUCGUUUCUUUUCCGCGGAUUUGCCAAAUUUCGAAUUCUAAUUUUACACAUGUAUAUGGAGGUUCACUUAUAAUGUUUCGUAUGCUUACGGUUUUUGAAAGUAAUCGUCAUACGUGAUACGCGUGUGAAAUUUAAAUACAUGUCGGUGACUGUGUAAUGUGUCACAUGUGUGGAUAGGUUGCUUCACUUAUGUCUAACCUAACCUCAAACAUUCAAGUCAGUGGUCAGCUGUCACAUGCGUGCGAUCAUUCGAUAUAUGCAGUUCGAUUAUCGUCAAAUUGGCUAUUCCUUUUAACUUCCUGUAAUAAAACGCUUUAAAAUGACCGUCGCUUUGUAAAAGUAAAUACAAAUAAUUGAAUACCGCCUUACCGGACAAUAAAAUGUUACUACAUAAAUUCUGUUUAUCAUCAAAUACACAAUAAAACGUUACAUUUAUUACUGUCAUUAACGAGAUCAAAUACAAUUAGAAAAUGUUCAGUGGUUUCGAAGAAAUGAUAAAAUUAAUAACUUGGAGGAAAUCCGUUUGAAAUUAUUCGAUCCAUCGGACAACACCCAGAAUUUAGUCAUCCUCGCACACCGGAACAAAGUAAAGAGUAACACGGGUUUUCGUAAGCCGAAAAACGGUUACGAUAUGUUUUAUUGAUGUACAUAUGUAGAAUAACGUCAUAACACACGUUGACAUCAACCUUCGUUGACCGAACCGGCACCACACACAGAGACCGUAUUUACCUUCGAUAUCGAGGGCUUAAUUAUCGUGACAAGACCACAAUAGGAGGAAUUAUGUCCAAGUAAGGUGUAGGCGCAUUGUGACCGGCCUGAAAACCCAAUGGUCCGUGAAGCCUCGACCUUGCUUACCAAAUAAGGUCCCGUUCAAGGUCUUCAAGGCCUUGCGUAAGUCUCCGGCAGUGCCAUCGGCAUAGCGAUUAACCGAUUAUGUCGAUGCUUUAGUCAUCGGUCGUUUUCAGUGAAAGUGGUGCAGGUUUUUCCAACGGAAAUGACUUCUUCUUCUGGGUUAUCUGGCCCCCCCCCCCGGAGUUCAGUCCUUUCUUCUGCCCUACGAGGCGGAUUGGGCGUGUCUGUCCUACGCGGACACGUGCUGUAGGUAACCGUCUGGCUCCAGUCGCGCAGUGCCACCGAAAUCAAUACGGAAUGCGACGGUAAGUUCAACGCACCCACCCAGAAGAGUGCUUAAGGCUCUUUCUCAUCGGACUAGCUGCGUGCGUUCGGCCCAGACAGUGAAACUAUCGGAAAUCACCAUAACGAGGUCAAAGACCUUCCUAUCAGCGAACCUUUCGCGAAUUUUCGAAUCGCGAGAACAGAUGGGAUCAAGGCUGAAUUUCGUUCACAGCGUACUCGGAUACUUCUAUGUAGGUACAUUCAGCGGGUAUAUUUGUGUCAGCGCCUGUCAUGAAGAACAUAAUCAUCGUGCGAUCACUUUUAGUUUGAAUUUGACGUACACGGGUCACGAAUGAUUCAGACGAUCAGUGAUGCUUACCGUCAUCGAGGCGGUAUCGGCAACAAUUAUUUUACCGUUGCGUUUAAAUUGCGGUGAUCGUUGGUGAAAUCGCAGUUAUUUAAUCAAAUAGAAAAUGCUUGGGAUAUUGAUUUGCUGUACGCGGUUAACGUUUUUUAAUUAAUAGUGUUUACCGUACCCUCUUUUUAUGCUUUAUAUAAUUCCCUUUUCUUCGUUUACUUGUUGAUAUAUAAGACUUCAUCUGAGGGUCUACAUUUGUAACUUUAAGUUAAAAUUCGAAUGUGUAAAAACUGUGAAUGUGAAAUUAAAAUGUGCAACAUUUCUGCGUACAUGAGAAAUCUUUAACGUCCGAUUAAAGAAGAAAAGCUGAUUAGAAUUAGAGUAUUUAUAAAGACACCCAUGUUUGAAUGAAAUGUUGAUAUGCAAUGACAGUGGCGAUAGCAUUAAACAAAAGACUUGACGAGUCAUUUAAUUUGAAGUUUGCACGAUUAAAGAAACUUUUACGUAUAGAAAUAAAUAUUAUUCGUAAUUUUACGGUAAGAGGAGUGUCAAAUGUAAUUCCAAUCUUUUAAACAAUUUUGUACAAGAAGCACUACGCAAAACAUACAUGUAUGUAUUUCACUACGUAAAAUAUAAUGAAAUGAAGCAUUUAACAAAGAAAACAAUGUUUUUUCAAUACAUUGAUUGUUAUAUUGCU